AGAGUUUGAUCCUGGCUCAGGAUGAACGCUAGCGGCGUGCCUUAUGCAUGCAAGUCGAACGGUCUUAAGCAAUUAAGAUAGUGGCGAACGGGUGAGUAACGCGUAAGUAACCUACCUCUAAGUGGGGGAUAGCUUCGGGAAACUGAAGGUAAUACCGCAUGUGGUGGGCCGACAUAUGUUGGUUCACUAAAGCCGUAAGGCGCUUGGUGAGGGGCUUGCGUCCGAUUAGCUAGUUGGUGGGGUAAUGGCCUACCAAGGCUUCGAUCGGUAGCUGGUCUGAGAGGAUGAUCAGCCACACUGGGACUGAGACACGGCCCAGACUCCUACGGGAGGCAGCAGCAAGGAAUCUUGGGCAAUGGGCGAAAGCCUGACCCAGCAACGCCGCGUGAGGGAUGAAGGCUUUCGGGUUGUAAACCUCUUUUCAUAGGGAAGAAUAAUGACGGUACCUGUGGAAUAAGCUUCGGCUAACUACGUGCCAGCAGCCGCGGUAAUACGUAGGAAGCAAGCGUUAUCCGGAUUUAUUGGGCGUAAAGUGAGCGUAGGUGGUCUUUCAAGUUGGAUGUGAAAUUUCCCGGCUUAACCGGGACGAGUCAUUCAAUACUGUUGGACUAGAGUACAGCAGGAGAAAACGGAAUUCCCGGUGUAGUGGUAAAAUGCGUAGAUAUCGGGAGGAACACCAG
rnacentral:rRNA from 1 species